UGCGUAGGCGGUUUGUUAAGUUGGAUGUGAAAGCCCCGGGCUCAACCUGGGAACUGCAUUCAAAACUGACAAGCUAGAGUAUGGUAGAGGGUGGUGGAAUUUCCUGUGUAGCGGUGAAAUGCGUAGAUAUAGGAAGGAACACCAGUGGCGAAGGCGACCACCUGGACUGAUACUGACACUGAGGUGCGAAAGCGUGGGGAGCGAACAGGAUUAGAUACCCCUGUA
rnacentral:rRNA from 1 species